ensembl:lincRNA
AAGGAAGCUCUCCCAGAAAGACAGUUUCCCAGUUCUGUGCUCAUCAGCACAGGUCACUGGUUCCUUAACAUUGGACUAUGUACCUAUCUGCCUACCUGCCUCUGUCUCAUCAGUGGCAGCCAGUGAAAAAGAAGUCUCAGCCGGGCGCUGUGGCUCAUGCCUGUAAUCCCAGCAUUUUGGGGGGCCAAGGUGGGCAGAUCACUUGAGGUCUGGAGUUCAAGACCAGCCUGAUGAACAUGGACAAACCCCGUCUCUACUAAAAAUACAAAAUUAGCCAGGCGUGGUGGCGGAUGCCUAUAAUCCCAGCUACUCGGGAGGCUGAGGCAGGAGAAUUGCUUGAAUCCAGGAGGUAGAGGUUGUGGUGAGCCGAGAUCGUGCCAUUGCACUCCAGCCUGGGCAACAAGAGCAAAACUCUGUCUCAAAAAAAAGAAGAAGAAGAAGAAGAAGAAGAAAAUGAAAAAGAAAAAAAGUCUCUUCUAGCUGGACCCACAUGGCUAGUCCUGAAGGUAGAAGCCAGGCCACCAAAGGAGGGAUCUGGAAAGGGGCCAGGGGUGUUCUCCAAACAGUGAGUGAGUCACUUGUCUCCACCUGUGGGAGCUGCUGGUGCACUGCGAGGGUCUUCGGAGGGCCCUCCUCUUUGGCUACGAGCCUCUCACAGAGCUCCCUUAUUUCCGCCCCCACCCAAUCUGCUUUACCACGCAGGCCACUGAGCGGGGUCGCAGCCCCAGUCCUUUUGUUUGAGAGAAGGAUAUUUUCUUCACGACUAGAAGGUUGCGUCCUAAAUCAACCUUGCCAUCCACGAGCAGUGCUGUCCUUGGUACUGAGCACCACUUCCUGUCACUGGCUGUCCUCAAUUGCCUGCUUUUCAGCUUCGAGGCCGAAUUCUUAAACCAAGAUCUAGAGAGAUUACAGGAACUACAGUUAACCCUAACAUCACAUCUUGUUACCCCACUAAGGAAUUCUUCUAUGGUAGUGUGUUAGGUUUUUUUUUUUUUUUUUUUUGCGUUGGCAUAAAGAAAUACCUGAGGCUGGGUAGUUUAAAAGAAAAGAGGUUUAAUUGGCUCAUGGUUAUGCAGGAUUUACAGGAAGCGUGGUGCUGCCAUCUGCAUGGUGACGGCCCCAGGAAACUUUCACUCAUGCUGGAAGGCAAAGUGGGAGCAGACAUCUUACACGGCCAGAGUGGGAGCAAGGGGCGGGGCGCCACACACUUUUAAACAACCAGAUUUCAUGAGGACUCACUAUUGUGAGGACAGCACCAAGCCGUGAGGGAUCCAUCCCCAUGACCCCGAUACCUCCUCCCAGGCCCCACCUCCAACACUGGGAAUUACAUUCUAACAUGAGAUUUGGGUCAGAAAAAUAUCCAAACCAUAUCGGGUAGGCAAGGUGGGAGUGGAUUUGCAAGUUCCAGACACAUGCUCCCGGGUUCUCCUGUUGGCUUGGCACAUGUCUACAGCACUAGUUCAGGGGCUGGCAAACUAUGGCCCACAGUCAAACCUGGCCUGCGGCCUGUUUUUGUAAAUAAAGUUUCAUUGGAACUCAGCCAUGUUUAUUUGCUUACUUAUUGCCCGUGGCUGCUUUUGUUCUACCACAGCAGAGUUGAGCAGUGCUGACAGAGACUGUAUGGCUUACAAAGGCUGAAUAUUUACUUCCUGGCCCUUCACAGAAAGAUGUCGCCAACACCUGCUCUCAUUUAUUCUCUUUUGGGCAGAUUUUUCUGAAAGCUGAAUUCUGGGAAAGGGAUUAGUGCAGUUUGGGUUACAGCAGCAUAAUUGCAUCAUAUUUAUUGCAUUACAUUAACUGGUACGAUUAUCUUGUUAUUGUAUUUGUUUGGAAUUAAGUAUGGUUUAAGGAGAUGCUUGUGGGGGCCAGGUUGACAAGGGGUAGACUUGUGGAGUUAAUUUUAGGUGUUAAUUUGACCAGAUUAAGGGAAACCUAGAAACCUGGUAAAGCAUCGUUUUGGGUGUGUCUGUGGGGUGUUUCCGGAGGAGAUUAGUGUGUGGACUAGAUGGGAAGAUCUGCCCUCAGUGUUAGCAGGCACCAUCCUCUUGGCUAGAGGCCCAGAGAGAACACAUACAGAGGGUAGACUGCACUUUCCGAGAGCAGGGACAGGCUUUUCUUCUGCUGCCUUGGACAUCAGAAUUCCAGUCUCACCAGCCUCUGGACUCCAGGAUUGACACCAGCGGCCUCCCAAGUCCUGAGGCUUUCUGCCUUGGACUGAGAGUUACCCUAUCUGCUUCCCUGGUUCUGAGAUCUUUGGACACAGGCUGAGCCAUGCUACUGACAUGGUUUGUAGACAGACUGUCUUUAGCUUGUAGACACACUGCCAAGGGACUUAUCAGCCACCAUAGUUUUGUGAGCCAAUUCCCCUAAUAAAUCACCUCUCACAUAUCUAUAUACAUAGCCUAUUGGUUCUGUCUCUCUGGAGAACCCUGGUUAAUAUAAAUUUGGUCUUGGGGAAGCUGAAUAUUAUUUCUUUUUAAUGAAUUCCUUACAACACAACAGAAGAAAUCCAUAAAAUUUUUCCCUUGGAAAAAGCCCGUGAUAAGUUAAGUGACAAGGCUACUUAAUGGUGAAAGAUAAAAGUUUAAAGGCUAAUUAUUGGUGCUGCAAAAGCAGAAAAUUGCUUAAUGGCAGUGGCUGAGCAAUAACCAGACUUUCUAAUGGACGAUACAUAUUUGCAAAAUUUGUAGAUCACAAUCACUCUCCAAAUACAAGCGCAAUGAAUGUUUUGAAAAUCAUACACGAACUGAAAAUGCAGGUGAAAAACACAAGAAAUCUCCCUUGCCAAAUUAGCCCAUCAUAUGUGACUUCUGCCCCUUCACGCAUAGCACCUGUUUGCUGUGCUACGCACUUCAUCUUUGCAUCAUCUUCAAUAUUGGAAGUAGAAAUUGUGUAGACCUUUAGAAAGUUCUAAUUCAUUUUAUGCAUUUUUUUUCCAGUUUGACUCCAUGAAAGUGCAUUAUCACAAUGUUGGCUUUGUGUGUAAGCACUGUGCAUGUGCAUAAAAAUGUCUAAACUUCCUCAAAAAAAUGAAGAGAUGCCCUCUUUGCACAUCUGCAUUUGUGAAAGAUAAAAUUUCUCAAGAUUUCAGCUCUUUGGGUGGCUGCAUAUGCGGUGGUGACCCACUGUAGUUUCGGAUCAGUCUCAUCAGAAGACUUAGGAUGUCCAUCACGGUACUUCAGAUGACCUCAGUUAUAAAGCUGGUGCACACAAUUACCAAUCAUAGUGGUAUGCAUGGAUAGCUUUUGCUUUUUGACCUAUUUCUUGACGAAUGUGACUCCUCUGCUCAUAACUGCUAUACCCAUGUAACUGUCACUAUUAUACUGAAUGUUUAUGAUGACAAAAACACAUAGGCCACCAUUGCCCAUUUUAUUGUGUAAAGUGGUCAAUAAAGUGUUCUGUCAUGUUUUUAUAUAUUUCACAAAUAAUCCCUUUUAAAAAUAUAGAUACUUUUUUUUUCAGAGUUGUAUUUUCAGGAUUUUCAUCUGUCAAGAUUGUGAAUGUGGGGAUUUUGGUACUUUAGGAUUUUGACAUCUAGGGCGAUGGCAUUUGGGAUGUGUCCUUCAGGACUAUGGCCCAGACCCUUUAGGAAGGGGUAUUUUCCCAGCUUUCUCAGUUCCUGGA